UACGGGGGGAGCAAGCGUUGUUCGGAUUUACUGGGCGUAAAGGGCGCGUAGGCGGCGUGACAAGUCACUUGUGAAAUCUCCGGGCUUAACCCGGAGCGGCCAAGUGAUACUGUGAGGCUAGAGUACGGAAGAGGCGAGUGGAAUUCCUGGUGUAGCGGUGGAAUGCGCAGAUAUCAGGAGGAACACCAAUAGCGAAGGCAGCUCGCUGGGACGUUACUGACACUGAGGCGCGAAAGCGUGGGGAGCGAACAGG
rnacentral:rRNA from 1 species